AGAUUGAACGCUAGCGGCAUGCCUAACACAUGCAAGUCGAACGGUAACAGGCCCUUCGGGGUGGCUGACGAGUGGCGGACGGGUGAGUAAUGCGUAGGAAUCUACCCACGAGUGGGGGAGUANCCCGGAGAAAUCCGGAUUAAUACCGCAUAUGCCCUACGGGGUAAAGCGGGGGAUCGUAAGACCUCGCGCUGGUGGAUGAGCCUACGUCCGAUUAGUUAGUUGGUGGGGGUAAAAGGCCUCCCAAAGGCUACGAUCGGUAGCUGGUCUGAGAGGACGACCGGCCACACUGGGACU
rnacentral:rRNA from 1 species